CAGAGGGUGCGAGCGUUGUUCGGAAUUACUGGGCGUAAAGCGCGCGCAGGCGGCCCUUUAAGUCUACCCGUGAAAUGCCGGAGCUCAACUCCGUGCACGGCCGGGGAUACUGGGGGGCUGGAGACAUGUAGAGGCAAGCGGAAUUCCGGGUGUAGCGGUGGAAUGCGUAGAUAUCCGGAAGAACACCUGAGGCGAAGGCGGCUUGCUGGGCAUGAUCUGACGCUGAGGCGCGAAAGCGUGGGGAGCAAACAGGAUUAGAUACCCUGGUAGUCCACGCCGUAAACGAUGGGCACUAGACGCGGGUGGGAUCGACCCCUUCCGUGUCGCAGCUAACGCGAUAAGUGCCCCGCCUGGGGAGUACGGCCGCAAGGCUG
rnacentral:rRNA from 1 species